rnacentral:rRNA from 1 species
AUUGAACGCUGGCGGCAGGCCUAACACAUGCAAGUCGAACGAGUGGCGGACGGGUGAGUAAUGUCUGGGAAACUGCCCGAUGGAGGGGGAUAACUACUGGAAACGGUAGCUAAUACCGCAUACCAUCGGAUGUGCCCAGAUUGGAUUAGCUAGUAGGUGGGGUAACGGCUCACCUAGGCGACGAUCCCUAGCUGGUCUGUGAGGAUGACCAGCGACACUGGAAUGGAGACACGGUCCAGACUCCUACGGGAGGCAUCAGUGGGGAAUAUGGCACAACUGGAGUAAGCCUGAUGCAGCCAUGCCGCGUGUAGGAAGAAGGCCUUCGGGUUGGAAAGUACUUUCAGAGAGGAGGCGUUACUCGCAGAAGAAGCACCGGCUAACUCCGUGCCAGCCGCCGCGGUAAUUC